CUCAAAGGUGAAAAAAGUUCAAGCCUUCAGCCCUGAAACGAACCGCUCCGAACUCCAAACGAACCGAACCGGUCUGUAAAAACUCUGGAGUGUGUCGAACACUCUAGUAACACUUUGGAAAGGUUAAAAAAACACAAAAUCCGCUUAAAAACAGUCGGGAGAAACAGUAACAACUGACGAUUGGCGUCCAGAUUCAAACCGUGCGUGAUGACGUCACUCAAAUACGCCAAUGAGAGGCCAGGUAUUUUUUUAGAACAACUUUAUUGAAAACAUUUUGUUUUGUGUAUUUCAAACAUCCAAAACUGUUUUUAAUCCUAAUUUCUCUGAGUUCUCUUUUAUAUACUGUACUUAUAACAACAUUUUAACAGAAUAGCGUGAAAAGAACAAAAACAAACCUGAUUCAAAUGAAUAUUAUCAGGAAAAACAUUUUAGGAGAAUAAAGUUGUAAAGUUAUGAGGUAAAGUGUUACCGGAAUCAAGCUGUGCAGUUAUAUAGAGAUAAAACUAUACAAGUAAAAUUUAAGGAUAAAGAAUUAAAAUUUUAUGAGAAUAAAGUCAAAUAUUCAGAAAAAAGUUACGAUUUUACUAUAAUAAAAUAUUCAAGUUAUAAGAAGACAGUCAAAAUGUUUUGAGAAUAAAGUCAUAAAGUUAUGAGAAAACAGGGAUAUUUAUACAAGAAUAAAUUUGUAAAAAAUUGAAAAAAAGACAAAACUUUAUUAGAAUAAAGUUGUAAAAAAGUCACACUUUAACAUGAAUAACGUCACACAAUUGUGAAAGGUAAAAUGUUAGGAAAACUCACACAGUUAUGAUAUGAGUCUUAAUAUUUGCAAGGGAAUAAAAACACUUUGUGGAUAAUAAAGUUUUACAUUAACUUAAAAGUAAAGCAAAUUCAGUGUUCUUUGAAUUAUCUGCAGCAAAAACUCAACAGUUAAUGUUCAAUGAUCUUUGAUUCAAGUAAAUAUAACAUUUUAUUUUCAGAGAAGAUUUUUUCCCGGUCCCUGCGUGAUGUAACAGAGUCUUAAUGGCAGCAACUCAUAAAGGAGUACUCAUAGAUAUAUUAUACCAUCCAUCCAUGUUUUUUUUGCUUCCUGUGCUUGUUGGAAGCUUCUACAACUGCUUGCUGUUCAGAAUCCAACUCUGGUUCUGAAGCUUUUGUCUCCACAGAUUGGUCUUCUGGGACGUCCUGGGAUUGUUCCGGUUUGGGUUCAGGCAAACCCUCUGUUUGGUCAGCAGACUCCACAGGUCGGCAUCAUCCAGCCAGGGAAUUUCUCCAGAGCCACCAGCAUCUUGAAGACCAAAACUGCUUUGGAUCUCUGGGUGAACCUGGACGAGGACUGAGAGAAAAUCUUCAACCAUCUGUACGUGGAAGAGUCCAACGACAAGUCAAGUCAACGUGCACGACCGGAUUGAGAACGACAGAGCCGGUCGUCAGAAGAUGACUCCACUGUUAAGAGGUCAGCAUCAUCCAGCCGGGAAAUUUCUCUGGAGCCACCAACAUCUUGAAGACCAAAACUGCUUUGGAUCUCUCAGCCAGAAAACCGCCACGCUGCAACAGGACAUAAACGCUCGUGUUGGAUCGUAUCGGGUCACUGAAAACGUGACUUGAUCCAGUGUGUUGUUAUCUCUGGUGGGAAACUUCUGAAGGUUCAGAAACACGGAAGAAAUUCCAACCCGGGUGAUGUAACAGAGUCUUAAUGGCAGCAACUCAUAGAGGAGUACUC